rnacentral:rRNA from 1 species
AUUGAACGCUGGCGGCAGGCCUAACACAUGCAAGUCGAACGAGUGGCGGACGGGUGAGUAAUGUCUGGGAAACUGCCCGAUGGAGGGGGAUAACUACUGGAAACGGUAGCUAAUACCGCAUACCAUCGGAUGUGCCCAGAUGGGAUUAGCUAGUAGGUGGGGUAACGGCUCACCUAGGCCACGAUCCCUAUCUGGUCUGAGAGGAUGUACAGCCACACUGAAACUGAGAAACGGGCCAGACUCCUACGGGAGGCAGCAGUGGGGAAUAUUGCACAUUGGGCGCAAGCCUGAUGCAGCCAUGCCGCGUGUAUGAAGAAGGCCUUAGGGUUGUAAAGUACUUUCAGCGGGGAGGCGUUACCCGCAGAAGAAGCACCGGCUAACUCCGUGCCAGCAGCCGCGGUAAUAC